rnacentral:lncRNA from 1 species
UUUACAGAUGGUGUUUCAUGUAACUUUGAUUCAAAGCAUUACACACAGUGGUUCAUGCAGCACAAACUAAAACGCAAAGCAGGUGUUGCCGCACAUCAGCAGCAUUCAGAGUCGCCUCCAUACACAGGCGGAUACCACAGUGACCAUCCACACAUAAUACCACUGUCCACCACAAGCCAAACAAGACACUACAACGAGAUACUAACUCCUAAGGUAACAUAACUUCGGAGACCCCACACCAGGUCAACUACAUAGAAUAUUAGGUUUGUUGGCACCAUAUUUUAAACACAGUUCCUUGCAGUCAUUGUUUCCAUUAUUGAAACCAAGCUGCCAACAUGGCCAGGUUAAAGUCUCUAAGAUUUGGGACACCCAUGCCACCGAAUUCUUUCCUCGUAGAAAUGAGCUCCCAUUUAGCAAGGUGGUACUUAUGUUCACUCCUCAAACUACCACAAAAGAAAUGGGGCAUCUGAUAAGUGAUAGCAUCAAUAGCCCAUUUAGGAAAUUUCAUCAUGGACAUUAAGUACAUAGAAAUGUUAACAAUGCAAGUAGUAAGAAGAAUUAGUUUGCCCCUACAUGACAAAUAUUCCCCAAGCCAAACAGAAAGAUUCUUGAUGAUUCUGUCUAUGAUGGGAUAGACCUCAAAACCAACACUAGGAUGGCCCAUAAUAUUGCCCAAGUGUACGUGUGGCGCAGGGCGGGCUCGUGGCUGGUUUUUCCUUGCCAAUUUCAGCCAGUCUUUUUAUUUAGGCCUAAUUUUGUAUUUGUUUCUUCUUCCCUUUUUGAAGUAAAGAAGUUAACGAACUUAACAAAAAAUCUUCAAGAAUUUUCUAAAAAAUCAUAAUUUUAAUAAUAAUAAUAUUUAUUUAUUUAAAAUAAUUGUAUAUUUGCAAAAAUAUUCACGAAAUUAAUAGAUCAUUCGCCAUUUUAAAGAUGUUUUGAUUUUUUUAAAUGUUCACAAAUUUAUGAGAAGAAAAUGAAAAAAAUAAAAUAAAAAUAAAAAAUAACCGCUGAUAAUUGAGGAACAAACCAAACAAAUAAAAACCAGAAGAAAAUGAAAAAUAACGAGGCGGUGAGGCAGAGAGAACGCGUACGCGUAAAGAAAUAAAGAGAUAAUGGACCCAGCGUCCCAGCCCUUACUGUUCACUGGCUGUGAUUCAUUUCUAGCUAGUCGAUACAUUGGCACGCGGCCCAUAUACACACCUGCGGUGUGCUGGUAGCCCGCAAAGAACAGCUCUGUGCUCAAGGGUUUCGCCGCGAGUGGCGGCGGCCACGAGAGCAGGCGACGAGGAGCGGCGGGGAGGAGGAGGCGGGCACGCGGCGUACGGCGGAGGUUCCGGCGCGGGUCGCGGGAGUUCCAAGGAGCGGCCGGCAGCGCCGCAGCACCGAUCGCCACCACCAGCAGGCCAAUCGCUGCCAUCUCCGACAGCAAGCUAGCCAGUGAGUGUCCUCUUGUGCUCUUCUUCGGUUCAUUCAGCUGAAGGAUUCACUAGCUUGUACAGUACUACUCUGCAUUGUCAAUUUUGUGGUGCUUUCUCUUUGCUUGCUCAAUUUUGUGGAUUCACUAGCUUGUACCUUGCGUUCACUUAAAUUUUGUUCAGUGAACAGACCCGUGGAGAACACCAUUGUGGGCUCUUGUGUCUUCCAAUUCAAAGUCGACUACGAGCUAGUCAAGCACCUUCCCACCGGUAUGGCCUUCUACUCCGAUGCCGUCUCCGCCGGGGGACACCUGUGGGGGAUUAAGUUCUUCCCGAGUGGGGAGUACGAGGCCGACGAGGAGUAUGUUUCUAUCUUCCUGGAGCACAUGAGCAAAUCUAGAAGUGUCGGGGUCAUCUUUGAGGUGUUUAUGAUGGGUAGGGACAGCAAGCCAUCCAUGUCAUUGUCACACAUACGAAGGUUAUGUCAAACCUUUGAAAUCAUGGAAGAUAAAGACAGCAGCGACUGCUGGGGAUGGGGCAAGUUCCUCGAACGAACUACUUUGGAGAAAGAUUACUUAACAGGGAGACACGUCACAUUUGCUUGUGCCAUCAUGAUCAUCGAUGACAGUUGUGUUCCUGUCCCUCCUUCAGACAUUGGGACCCAUCUUGGUCGCCUGCUAGAUCACGCUGAUGGGACAGAUGUGUCAUUCAUCGUUGACAAUGAGACAUUCCAUGCUCAUCGAGCAGUGCUUGCUGCCCGCUCACCGGUCUUCCGAGCAGAGCUCUUCGGCCCCAUGUCCGAGGCUACAAUGCCAUCCAUCACGCUGCACGACAUCACACCUGCAACAUUCAAAGUUAUGCUCCGGUUCAUAUACACAGAUGAAUUGCCCCUAGAAGACGAGCUUGAGGACUCUUCCACCGAGAUGUUCCAGAACCUGCUUGCUGCGGCCGAUCGGUAUGCACUGGACAGACUGAAGAUUGUUUGCGCCCAGAAGUUGUGGGAUAAAGUGUCGGUAGAUACAGUUGCAACUAUCUUAGCUUGGGCUGAAACCUACAACUGCCAGGAGUUGAAGAACAGGUGCAUUGACUUCUUUGUGGUGGAGGAAAAUUUCAAGAAGGCCAUCUUCACCGAUGGUUAUGCGUUGCUGGUUCUGAAAUUCCCAGAGAUCAUUGCUGAGAUGAAAAAGAGGGUUUAGGAGAUGACACAAUGAGAUAUAUCUCCAUGUAUAUAGUUCAGGUGUUCAAGCGAUAGUACUAGAUGUGUUUUGGAACGUGGUGAGUGGUAUGCGGCAUCUUAUCAAGCGUACUGGGGCGUACUAAAUGUGUUUCAUGAGCUGGGAGCCUGAUAUUACUGGAUCUUCUUGUUAGCAGUAUUGGCCAUAGUUGCUACUGAGUACUAAUGGCGGAGUGGUGGAUGUUUAUCAGGUAUCAGAUACUUGUGCUGAAUGAGCAGCUUGUUUUCCGUUUGUGUUUGUUCUUUUGGCCAUGUCGUGUCCUGAAGCUUUUAAAAUGUUUACUUCUGCUAAUCUAAUGCAUAACUAUCUAUAGCUCCGGUAAUCUAAAUACUUCCUUUGUCAUGGCAAAAAAAUUCUAGAGUAUAGCCUUUGCAUAGCUCAGUGUGAAAUUUUGUUCCUGGUUCAUCACUGAAAUCAAACAAGGGAUAUUCAAAACCUGAAAACGUGGUUGUGGCCCUUGUGGGAGUACUGAACAAAUUUUCUAAUUAAUUGGCCCGUGUGUUCUAGGGAAGAAAAGGACGCCCAACGGACGGUCCAGUAUCUUUGCAUACAACACAUCAUUUUCAUUAGAGAAAGGCUAUAAAUGAGCAGCUUGUUUUCCGUUUGCGUUUGUUCUUUUGGCCAUGUCGUGUCCUGAAGCUUUUAAAAAUAUUCACUUAAACUAAUAUAAUGCAUAACUAUCUAGAGCUCCGGGAAUCUCUUUGUCAUGGCCAAAGAAUCUGGAUUAUAGCGUUUGCAUAGCAAAGCGUGAAAUUCUGUUCCUGGUUCAUCUGGUAACUGAAAACAAACAAGGGAUAUUCAAAGCCAAAAAUCCUGUACUAACCAUUCUGAACAAAUUUUCUAAUUAAUUGGCAUGUGCGUUUGAGAGAAGAAAAGAACAUCCUACGUUCAGCGUCUUUGCAUACAACUGGGACCUGAUGACCGGAUCGAAACGAAAUUGCCAUCCUAUCUGCAGAUGUCAUGGUGAUACACAAGUUCCAGUGGAACUCGGCCUAAGUGGCUACUCGCAAGCUUUCUGAGAUUGCUUACCAGUCCAUCUAACAUAGCUCAACAGCUGCAAAAACGCUCAAAAUCAUUUGCCCACACUUAAUCAGCCAAAGGAAUCUACAUUAACAUGCAAAUAACUUGAACAGCAGUGGUAAACAAUGCAUACUGCUCGAGUAAUAGCAAAUAAAACAAUGCCAAUUGACAGUCAAAUACACACUCAUAUAAAAAGAGUUAUGAAUUUACAGAUGGUGUUUCAUGUAACUUUGAUUCAAAGCAUUACACACAGUGGUUCAUGCAGCACAAACUAAAACGCAAAGCAGGUGUUGCCGCACAGCAGCAGCAUUCUCGCCUCCAUACACAGGCGGAUACCACAGUGACCAUCCACACAUAAUACCACUGUCCACCACAAGCCAAACAAGACACUACAACGAGAUACUGACUCCUACAGCUAUUAGGUAAUAAUAGAACUCCGGGUAGCUCUUAUUGUUACUGCGUCGGGAUGGGCUGCAUCUCAGGAGCUGUGGCAGGCGCAGUGUCGGCGGCCGGGUUGGCGAAAACCCUUGCAAUGCGCUCAGUUGGGACGAGCGGGAGGUAGGUGGCGACGGAGUUGCCACGCUUCGCGCCAUCAAGCACGGCAGAGUUGUACUUGGCUGAGAGCUGUGCUGCCGUGGGGAGGACAGCACGGGUCACCGAGGGGACGAGCGGGAGGCGGUUCAGGGCGGCCCAGGCUUCAGCAGCCUUGCGCUCCGCCACAGGCUCAUAGCGGGUAUACAAGUCACGGGCCUUUGGCUCAGCACGAGCAAUGGCCGACUUGGCCAGGCCAGUUGCUGUGCCCAUUAUGCCUGUCUUCUGCACCUCAGCUGCUGCAGAGCGAGCAUAGGUCGGCACCUCUUUCACGACCGGCGGGACACGACGAUCCAGCUCCUGGACAGACUCGUCGACCUGCAAGGCACAAGCACAUGCAAACAUUAGUUGCUUGAAUAGCAAUCAAAUGAUUUAAGAUAAAUGCAUGGUGGACAUAUAAAAAUGAACUUGCCUCAUGCUAACCAAGAAAUCAGUUGCAAGAACUAGCAACAACUGAAUUCAAAUGCCCAUGUUAUGAUACUGGUUUUUACAGGACAUCCCGUAUACAAUUAUAUGCUAUUGUGUUCCUAAAUUGGACAUAAAUUGAUUGAUGCCCACGAUACUGGAUGUUGAACAUAUAGAAAUGAAGAAACAGUUUGACACUGCUUAAGGCUUGCCUCCCGCUAACAAAUAGAUAAGUUGCAAGAACUAGCAACAACUGAAUUGAAAUGCCUAUGUUAUUAUGAUACUGGUUUUUUUACCUGAUAUCCCGUACAGAACUAUAUGCUUUGUGUUGAUAAAUUGGACAUAAAUUGAUUGAUGGGUGAUAGGCUUAUAGCCAAUCCCAUUUCAAUCUGCCCAGAUAGAUGCAAGCAAAAUAAAAGAACCUCAAUUAACAUCAACUCAAUUUUGCCCCAUACCAACUAAAGAUCCUACAAUCCAACUCUACAGAUGAAAAAAUGAAGCAGACAGCUGCCAACAACAAAUUAUAAUUAGUGCCUAACAAGUCAGUUCCUCUGGUGUUCAUACAUGGUAUGUGAUCAAAAGAUGGGGAAAACAACUUGAUUUGUAGGUAUCAAAUUAUCUGGACAUCAUCUGUAGUACUUCGCAAAACUAGACUAAUAACAGGAUAAAGUGAUAAAACCAAUACACCAUAACAGGAUAAAGUGUUUCAUCCGCAUAACGACUCAUGCGACUUGAAAUCAGGAGCACAGAACAACUAGGUACUCCUGUGGCGAAGAACAACAGCCAUGAACUGGAUCGGAUAAUAAAUCCUUGAUACAGCUAAGAAAUCAAGCUGAGUUUCUCAAUCGUUCUCACCUUGCGGUCGAGGAACUUGAGGAGGUCGAGCGGCACGGCGUGGUAGCGGUCGUACACGGGGCCGACGACGGCCUUGACCGUCCCCUCGACGUGGUCGACCCCGGGGCGGAGCGGGCCGGCGCCCUGCUUGGCGUACGCGUAGGCCGCGGCCGCCAGCACGACCGCCUGCGCCGCCGCCUGCUGCACGAACUCGAGGUACCUCAGCCUGGCCUCCUCCUCCUCGGGCGUCCUCUCCACCGUCACCUCCUCCUGCGCGCGCGCCAACAAACCACAGAUCAGCACCAAAUCACGAUGAAAUCAAGCAUAAAAAAAACGGGAACAAAUCUCGGGACGAGAUCCCUUACCGCCGCGGGCUGGGUGCUGAUCGGGGCGGCGUCGUUGUUGCCGGACUGCGCCAUCUCUGCUGCUGCUCCGCUGGGGAUCGACCGGUGCGCUGCUGAUUCCGCGAGAGGGAGACGAAAAACUUUUUCGAUCGAGUCGAUUUCACUGCUAGGGUUUUGGGGAUUUGGUGGAUGGAUUUGGCGUAGGAGGGGAAUCGGGGAUCUUAUAGGGAAGAGAGAGACAAUAUGAAACCGAUCGGACGCGUCUGUUUUCCCUUUUGCCUUCCGCGUUAAGGAAUUUUGCGCCUGUCCGUUUCGCGUCCGUGCCGGGGCUUCCAGAAGGGGUCCGUUGCACGUCGCCGACAGUGGGGCAGGCUAGAUGGGUCCCGCGUGCCGGUGGGUGUGGGCGGUGGCUACGCGCCGUGACGCGGAGGCGGUUGGGUGUGGGGCCGGCGCGUCUGUGACGGAGGCGNNNNNNNNNNNNNNNNNNNNNNNNNNNNNNNNNNNNNNNNNNNNNNNNNNNNNNNNNNNNNNNNNNNNNNNNNNNNNNNNNNNNNNNNNNNNNNNNNNNNNNNNNNNNNNNNNNNNNNNNNNNNNNNNNNNNNNNNNNNNNNNNNNNNNNNNNNNNNNNNNNNNNNNNNNNNNNNNNNNNNNNNNNNNNNNNNNNNNNNNNNNNNNNNNNNNNNNNNNNNNNNNNNNNNNNNNNNNNNNNNNNNNNNNNNNNNNNNNNNNNNNNNNNNNNNNNNNNNNNNNNNNNNNNNNNNNNNNNNNNNNNNNNNNNNNNNNNNNNNNNNNGUUUUGCGUUUACGAUGGGCGGUGCGCGAUGUGUGAACGGCGUUUGCCGUGUUUUUUUUCUUUUUUUUUUUGGAAUGGAAUGUUUUGUGGUGCUGCUACGCUGCUGGAAGUUUCGGGACGAGGUCUAGAGAUCUGUGGCUUUCUGUCGAAAACCUGACGCUGACGGAGAGGCUUUCAGCACAACAAGACCACUGGUUUUUUGUCGACCACAUAACCUCCGAGUAAUUCACAAGGCCCCAACUGGACGCCUAGUUCAGGUGGUGGUUUGGUUUUGGUUUUUUCUGCAGUGGAACCAUCCGUUAGAGGUUAAGUUCUAGAUUUGACAUUGAUUUUGAUUUUUUUUCUCAAAUUUAUUUCAAUUUUUCGUUGAUGCUCAUUCCGUGGGACCUGCCACUUGACUAUGAGACUAGUGUGUGCGUUCAUGAAGAUGAGUGUACAUGCGCAUAUAUGGCAUAUGUGUCGUACCAUGUUUAAAAAAAACUAAUAGCCAAGGCCUCGUAUCAUGAGCACUUUCUUUUUUGCGGCCCGUCUAAAUUAUAGUUUCCCUAGAUUAUGAAAAAGGUGUGAUGUUUUAGCAAAUUUGAUCUUAAUUUCCGUGCUGAAUUUCAUUUGCUUGUAGGGACCGCUUUAACACCUGCUAACGGCACAGGUUAUGAAGACAUCAUUAUCUUGCUACCCCAUUGGAAAAAAAGUAACUUGAGGCAACUUUACUAAUUUUAUUUCUUCAAUGGUUCAACCCCAAGUUGCUACCUAGUGGGCCUCAAAUAAAAGAAAGAUAGCAAAAAAUAUGAAGUAUCGGAUCUAAUCCCCAACGCAAAUGCACACGCAUGAACAAAAAAAAUGAAAAUGUGUAAAAAGAAUAAAAAAAAUCUGAAAACUUUUGUGGAUAAACAUCAACAGGUGUUCUAACAUCCUGCAAAUUUUCGCCACCAAAAGUCACCCAUAGUGGCAUGUGCCGGAAAAACAGAAAAAUGAAUGCUCCAAAUACGUGUUUUUGAGUCCUGACUUUUUUUACAAGCCUCCAUAGAUGUCUUUUCUAGGUGAAUUUUUACAUGAUAUUAGAACAUAUGUUGAUCUUCAUCCAAAAAAAUUAAGAUUUUUAAAAAAGUGUUACUGUUUUUUGAAUUUUAUUGUUCGUGUGUGUGUUUAAGCUUGGGGAGCAGAUAAUCCAUGUCCAGAAAAGAAACUCCCAUACACAUAAAUGACAUACUCCCCCGUCCUAUAAUGUAAGGCAUUUUUUACCCUAGUGUAAUGUCAAAAAAAGUCUUACAUUAUCAGAUGAAGGGAGUAUAUAUCUAUUCUCUUGCCCUCCACUCCAAACUUUUGUCACAUAGCCACAUCAAGCACUGGCAACCUGCAAAGAAGAAUCCGACACAUUGCGGGGCAUCACCUCCUAACAUGCGAGUCUACAUGCCAUAUAUAUGGGGCAGCAGUUUGAAGAUAUGACUUGGUCAAUAGUAGAAGCUAUAGCUAAACGAGUGAUUCCUUCUAAACACAGGAAAUUUAUCAGGGAAAAGGAGAGCCGUUGUAGAUGCUCUUAGUAGUAAUAGGUUUCAUCGCCCCCAGCAAGCUCCGUGGGUGUUUUCUUCUUCUCUUUCAGCAAGGCUCAAUGGUGGUUUGAGGUUUGGGGUCAAAGUUUGAACAAAUCUCACAAAGGUUUCAGCAUACUACCAGAGUAGGUUUUACUAGUUUAAGAUCGGAUUCUCAGUUCUCACACGGAUUUUACUCCCCCGUCCCGUAAUAUAAGAGCGUUUUUGACACCAUUGAUGUCAAAAACGUUCUUAUAUUAUGGAACAGAAGGAAUAGUUGGCAUUCCAACAUACAGAACUGUUGACGUAUAAAUGUAUUGUCUAGUCUCUUUCAUCAGAUCGGUCUUUUGCUUGUAUUGACUAGAGCAUGCACUUCUACAUAGUAUCAGAACCCAAGAGGUUUUGAGUUCAAGACCUAGCUGGCGCAAUUAAAUUGCAACUCACUUUCGGUCCACGUUUAGGCGGAGUGUUGACGUAUAAAUGUAUUGACUAGUCUAUUCCAUUAGAUUGGUUUUUUGGUUGCAUUGGCUAGAGCAUACACUUCUACAAGAACAGAAAGAAAAAAAAUAUUGUAUCUGCAAUGCAUGGGAUUUUAGGAGCCAGGUAAUAGUUAAUCACCAGAAGAAGGCAGAACUGCAGAAACAUAUAGUGUUACAGGUAUCAGUAAUCCAAAUUCAAAGUUUGAAAAGAACUGAAAUUUCUUCGUCAGACCCAACAUCAGUAAUAGAGUGAUACAAGGAUCACAGAAUUAUAGAACUACUGUACCAGGGAUCAUCAUGAGUUUGCAUCUUUUAUUGGUCAGAGACGAGGAUCCACCCGUUCGUAUGAUUCAUCUGAAUAGUUAUUAGUUAUUUUCUCUACGAGCAAGUACUACGGCUAUUUUCUCGUACUCAAAAACUGCACAGUCGGUAUACUGGAGAUAUUAAGCAUGAUUGUCGCCUUAACAAGUAACACUACCUGAGAUUGAGACUGAAACCAGUAUGAUACAACCUGUUAAUACUACUCCCUUUGUUUAAACUGCCAGAACGUCUUACAUUUGUGAAGAGAGGGAGUACCUCCCUUCCAAAAUAAAACAAGUUCUGGGUUGGUACUCCCUCCCAAAAUAAAACAAGCUCUGGGUUUGUUCCAAGUCAAAUCUUGAAAUGCAAACAGUGCUUAUUUCCUCGUCAUGCGGUGAAGAACAUUAAAAAGAUGGACAGCAACAACGGUAAUUGAUAGAGUGGUAGAAGGAUCAUAUAGAUCUACCAACAUUAUUGAACUAUAGUUCCAGAUGAAUAUAACAACACUCUCCAGCCAAAAUUAUGAUACGAACAAUCUGCGGGGUAGAAAGGAAAAAUGAAACUGAUACAGAUUACCGGUUCAAGAAAUUAGGAAAAUUGCUAACACAACACAUGGAUGAGAUAAGUAAAUAGAUGCUCUUCUUGAAAGCUAAUAAGCAAACGAUGGUUCACCGGGCCGGAAGCUCCGGUAGAUGGAGGCUAUCACUGGGACAAGACCCAGCAGCGCGAUCUGGACCUGCUCCGAUGUGCUUGUCCUGACGGUGAUCUGUCCGCUCAGCUUGUUGUUGAGCCCAAGGCGAACAGCCAUCUUUGAACCCCUUCCAAUCGAGAAUUGGGACUGCAGAUUAGCCCCCAGGGCAAGGUCACGGCGCCACUUCAUGAGGGACAGGCCCAAGGUUGACAGGGACUGACCAAUUGGAUAAUCUUUGUCUUUUAAGCGCGCUUCCAGGUUGGCUCCAUAGGCGGUAUCCCCUUGAGCUCGCAUUGCGCCUGUGCUUGCCACUAACGCCAGCCUCUUACCAACAGAGAGCUGGUCCUCGACCUUCAGCCCAGUUGCCACAAUGUCACCCAAGAAAGUCACAGAGAAUCCUCCAGUGGUCUUGUUCUUCUUGAUACUCUUGAAUUUGGUCUCACCACGAAGAAUAUAAGCAAGCUGCCGCCCAACAGUCUGGAUGUCAAAACCAGCAAGGGAAGACGCAUCCUCCCCAUGCUUUGCUGAGAUGGAAGAAUCCAAAUGGAUGCUAAAUUCCUUCUUGUCCUUGGUAACCUGAACUGCCACAGUACCUGGGAAUUUGUUAAGGAGAGCAAGCGACUCUUCAACGCUUACUCCAUCAUAGCCACAGUCAUGAUCCCACCCAUGCGCAUCUAGAACAGGCCUUGCAAGGACAGUAGAGGUUGGUUCCAGAAAGCGGUAACGGUAUGUCGGAUUGUCACAAUCAAAUGAAGGAGGCAGCACCAUGUCAGGCAAGGGAACUGAAACAUUUUCUGGAGGAGGAUCUUGAUCGUUUUCGCCUGCGAUACUAGCAUACCCAUAAGCAUCCAUAUCAGACUUGCCUCUCUUCUUCAUCUCCUUUAACCUGCGGAGCUCAUCCUUCCACUGUUUCUUCUGCAGAAGCUUGACCCUGUAAUCAUACUCGUCAAAAUAAGCAUUCUUCUGCUCUUUUGUGAGCCUUGCAAGCUGCGCUUUGGUCAAAGGCUUGAAGGGAGGAAGCUGAUCAUAUUCCUCUUCAUCUUCAUCUUGUUCUAUAUCAGAAUACUCAUCCAAAUCAAUAUCAGAAUCUCCUUCAUUACCACCCUGAUCAGGUGAGAGUUUCGGGUGAGCUCUUGACUGCAACAGGGAGGAUAGCAGGAAAGGAAGUGGCGGGGAGCGGAAACGGAACCCAAAAAGCUUCCCAGGAGAAGGAUCCUGAAGCUUCAAAAGUGAGUUGGCUUCUGAUAAUAUCUUUGAUGAGUAGCACAAGAGCAGCAUCUGAUGCCUCCAACUUUGGCCAUUUGGAAGCACUUUCUGACCCUCACGGUUCUUCCGGCAAGAAGGAUGGUUCUCAACAAGGGCUACUGGGUUCAUCAGACGCAUAUCCCCUGCAGCCUGUCUGAUGGAUUGCUGGAUAAUGUGGGAUCGCUGUGCCAUCAAUACCUCGUAUGUCAUAGGAGCACCGUUGAGGCCUUCAGGAGGAGCAGAAGCAGCAUGGGUGAGAGCAACAAUGGCGUUGAACCAUAUGGAAGAACCCAGAACAGAAGUAAUGGUUUUUAGAAGAGGCAAGUCAUUAAGAUCACGGCUCAGACUAUCAAGACGGUCCACAUAUAGAACGAUAUCUGGGGGACAUCUCUUGGUAUAUUUCUUGACGGAUGCGAGAAUUUUCCUGUUGGCUCCUUGGUCCAUCACAUUGGGCCGAAGGCCUGGUGUAGCAAUGAUCCGUAUCUUGACACCAUCCACAUUACCAACAAUUUCACGCACGCUGGUGGUGGCUGCACCAAAAGCAUCAGUUUUGGACUUCACUUCGCCAAAUAUAGAAUUUAUAGUUGCACUUUUGCCAACUCCAAUCUUUCCCAAGACGAGUAUGUUGCAGGAGAAGCUCAAAUCCUCUUUUCCCUCCGCUUCAAGCAGCAAGGCUUUCUUCCGUGCGUUCUCAAGGCUGAAAGCUCUGUUUGUCUGCCUUCCAUGUCGGAUACCCUCAGCAAGGCUCAGACGGUACAGCACUUGUGCUGCUACUGUUUCUUCAGGGGUCGCCCCCAAUUUAUAGACAAGGCGCAGAAACUUUACACGGAUCAACUCAACCUUGUCAUGCAAUUUCUUCUCUUCCUCUGUCAUCUCGUCAUUAGGCUCAGCAGUCACUGCCAGCUCAGAGGGGCUGAAGAGGUUUGACCGGGCAGGUUGGCGGGGGGCAGUUGGCCGCAAAGAUGGGGCUGACGAGCCCAGACCAGCAGGUCUAUCCAUGGAAAAUAUUCUGGAACCAUCUUGCGAAGAAACUGUGAUGUUCCCAUCAGGGGAUGCACCGGUAGCCGCUUUUAGUAGGGCAGCCAAAGCAGCAGAAUCGAACCCCUUCUCAUCAUCAUCCUCAUUAUCGUCGUCAUCAUCCUCGUCCUCAGAAUCAUCAAGAACAAUUUGUCCAUCCAUGCUAUUAGUGUACUCCCUUGAGCUGCUCAAGCCAGACACAGGACUACCACUUGAGGAUCCUUCACCAAGCUCCUUCAUGAUCUGCUUUGCAGCUUCAGAAUUCUCUAUGAUUGCAACUCGUGCAGGACUCCUGUCAAAGCUCACCUCAUCAUCGUCCUCAUCACCCUCAUUACCACUCCCAUCUUCCUCAUCAGCUGCAGCUAAAACUAUCUCAUCAUCAACAGCCUCUACUUCACGGUCAGUAACAACUUGUGCACCUUCAUUCUCCUCACCACCUGUGUCUUCAUCAUCAGCUGCAGCUACAGUUUUCUGAUCAUCAGCAGCUGCAGCCACAACUAUCUCAUCAUCACCAACCUCUUCUUUGUGGCUAACCACCUCUGCAGCAGGUUCAUUCUCAUCGACAUCAUCAUUGUUUUCCUUGACUGGUUCUGGAGCCAACUCCCGAGACAAGAUAACAUCAUCACCACCAGCAACAACACUCUCAACCUCUGUAGGCUUCUCAACACCAACAUUUUCCACAGUUCCACUAGCAACCACCUGGUCCUCUGCAUUUUGUGCGUUCUCAUUGCUUUCUGUAAGCAGAACAUCUACGCUUGAAGGAGCAAGCUUCACCAAACUCUCCGAGCUAAUGUCAUCGAUAACCUGGUAUGGAUCAUUUGAAUUCUUUAUAUCCCCAAUCCACAUUAACAUUAACACUACUAGCAAAAGAAUUAGGUAGAACAUGACCACUUACCUCGGGACUUGCAUCGCUUUCUGGCUCGGGCAUUGCCUCCUCAUCUUUCUCAUUAGCCUGGUAAUCCAAGCUACCAUUGUCAAUAACCUGGUUUGGAUCAUUUAUUUGUUUUAAACUCCAGUAGUGUCAACAUUACUAGGUAGUAGCAACGAAAUUGUAUUGAGCAUGUCCACUUACCACCGGGCUUGCAUCAUUCGCCUGAUCAGGCUUUGCAGCCUCGUCUUCCACAUUAGCAUGGUUCUCCACUGGGCUUGCAUCAUUCACCAGAUCAAGCUUUGCAGCCUCGUCUUCCACAUUAGCAUGGUUCUCCACGGUACCGUUAUCAACAACCUGCUUCAUUACAUUUGAAUUGUUACAUCCUCUACUGGUGUCAAGACAACUAGUAACAGAACUUGAAAACGAAUAUGUCCACUUACCACUGGAGUUGCAUCGCUCUCUGGCUCGGGCUUUGCCGCCUCGUCUUCAACAUCAGCACGGUUACCGUCGUCAGUAACCUGGAUUGGGUCAUUUGAAUUGUUCAUAAGAUAUCCUACCAAUAUCAAUACUAUCAACAGAAAGUAUCUGAUUGAAGAGGCCCACUUACCACUGGACUUGCAUCGCUUUCAGGUUCCUGCUUUGCAGCCUUGUCUUCCACAUCAGCCUCAUUCUCCAAUGAUGCUUCUGGAGCUUCUUCACCUCCCACCGCCACCAACUCAGCAGGCGCUUCAGCCUCACCGCCCAAAUUGCCAUUGGCUUCAGCUGUAGGAGCCACCUUAUCCUCCGGCUCCGCCGCCUCCAUGCUCGUGGUGGACGCCGUAACCGCCUUCUCGCUGUCAAACUCACCAUCAUCUUUGCCUCCGGCGGCCACCUCUGCAGGCUUCUCACCCUCUGGUUUCUCCUCGGACAAUUCAGCGUCGAGUGCCACGUUGUCCACUUCCUUCGCCUCCAAAGUGGCACUUUCCUCUGGUUCGUCUGUCAAUUCAGGCUUCUUAUCACCUACCGGCGUAUCAGGGGAUGGCAGGGAAGCAUCCCCCUCGCCCAAUUCACCAUUGUCGGACUCAGACUUCGCUGCAACAAGCGCCUGCACCAACAACGCAGCCUUCACAUCUUCCACCGACAAUUCCCGGUCACCUUCCUCCUCCUUGGCCGCAGCCGCCUCCUCCUCUUCCUUCUCUUCUUCCUCCCGCUCAAUUGCAUCUUUCCCAUCUCCUACCGCUGCUUCCACCUCCCCGCCGUCCUCCGCCUCCACCACCCCGCCGUUGUUGGCCUCCGAACCAGUAAAGCUCCGGUCUUUCCCCUCAAAUCUCACCUCCUCGCCCUCCCCUACUCCACCUACCUCCGCCGCCGCCGCCCCGGCACUCUUGGCCCCCUCCGCCGCCGCAGCCUCGUCCGCAUCAGCGGCCGGAGGCCGCUCGUCGGCCACGGGCGCGACUCGGGCGUCGGUGGUCGCCAUGCUGCCGCCUCUUGCUCCGCCCACAAGCAAAGCAGCAGCAGAAGUCGUCGGAUUCCGUCGUCGGAGGAGGAGAUGGAGGGGAGGGAAGAGGGGAGGAGAGGAUAAGGUGAGGGUUUUAGGUUAGGCUACUCGAUUUAUCUCGCGAGUAUAUAUAGCUCAAUUCGAUUUGGGUCUGGUUUGGCGUGUAAUUCUGGGACGAGAUGGCAGCCAGCCAGGGGCCAGGGGUGAGAUGAGAAAGCAAGCAAUGGGCAGAUUUGGGGGGCUGGUGAUAAGGCGCUUUUCUUAUUGCCUCCUUAUUCCUUUUCUAUUUUCUGAUCUGUGUUUGGGUUUUUUUCUUUAUAGAAAGUGCAUCAGAUAUUUAUUAAAAAAACAGGAAACGAUAGAAAAGAAGAAGAACAACGAGACGCAAAACGACCUGUAAAAAAUAAAAUUAUAUCACAAACUACACGUGCUGACUUUCUCUGUUCCUAAAUAUUUGUCUUUUUAAAGAUUUCAAAUUGAUUACCACAUAUGGAUAUAUAUAAACAUAUUUUAAAGUGUAGAUUCACUCAUUUUGCUCCGUAUGCAGUCACUUGUUGAAAUAUCUAGAAAGACAAAUAUUUAGGAACGGAUGGAGUAUUUGAUUAUUCGGCGUCUGCCGAAGCUUGAAAAAUUACUAGGGUUUUUUUUUGACAUGCUUCCUCUUACCUUCUCUUUUCACACGAGAGAUAAGAGUAUAAAAUGGAUUCGAGUCAUUGAUUUUAUUAAGUAAUGGGUCUGAUUAACUCUUAUUUUCUUACUUCUCAUGUGAAGAGGGGGGAGGGGGAAGAGGGAGCAUGUUAAAAUUGCUCCUAGACAGUAAGAGAUGGGAACACCUGCGAACACCUACACUAUACAACGCUUUGAAGACCGCAAUAGCCACUCAACGAUAACAACGAGGUAUAAUAGUCGUGGAAGGAGCAUCCGUUGACCAAUUUAUAACAAAAACAGGACUGAAAAUCAUACAAACUUGAUUUCUUAGAGGAAACUCAAUUUCUUAAAGGAAAACUGACUACAACCUCGCCACCACCUAGACGGUGGCCCAUUGGGCACUUCAAGUCGCCCAGCGGCCCACCGGGCCGCAAUUCACACCCGGGCGGGGUCGUGCAACACGCCUCCAAACCUGGAUUCCUCUCCUCGGCCUUGAACUUGAACUCCCAUCUUCGGACUCGGCGGUUUGCUCCGGAUCUAAGGCCAGAGUGGUGGUUGGGGCCGCGAACCCUUCGAAGAUCAAGUCUCCUCGGAUAUCAGCGACAUAGUUCGGUUCCCAAAACUGAUCUGAUGACCAGGGGCGUGGUUGUCGAUCUGUUCGAGGUGACCAAUUGAAUUGGCACGGAGAGCGAAGCCGCCGAACACAAAAAGUUGACCAGGGAGGAAAGUUUCCCCGGAAACAGCAUCGUUGUUGAUGAUUGAACGAGCCAUCGAACCUUCUGUCGACGACACAGUGGAACUCUCAAUGAAAGCACCAAUGUCGGUGUCAAAACCAGCCGAUCUCGGGUAGGGGGUCCCGAACUGUGCGUCUGAGGGUCGAAGGUAACAGGAGACAGGGGACACGAUGUUCACCCAGGUUCAGGCCCUCUUGAUGGAGGUAAUACCCUACUUCCUGCUUGAUUGACUUUGAUGAAUAUAGGGGUUACAAGAGUUGAUCUACCUCGAGAUUGUAAUGGCUAAACCCUAGAUGUCUAGCCUAUGUAAUUUCUGAUAGCCUCUAUGGAUUAAACCCUUCGGUUUAUAUAGACACCGGAGGGGGCUAGGGUUGUACAGAGUCGGUUUACAGAGAAAGGAAACUAUACAUCCGGACGCCAAUCUUGCCAUCCACGCAAAGGAGAGUCCCAUCCGGACAUGGGGGGAGGCCUUCUUCCUUGUAUCUUCACGGCCCAUCAGUCCAGCCCAUAUCACAUAGCCCGGACACCCGAGGACCCCAUAAUCCAGGACUCCCUCAGUAGCCCCUGAACCAGUCUUUCGAUGAUGAUGUGUUCGACAUGCGGAUUGUCUUCGGCAUUGCAAGGCGGGUUCCUCCUCCGAAUACUUCAAAGCAGUCUUCUGAAUAAGAGAACUGUAUCCGGCUCUGUAUAAUAGCCACAACCCUCAACCAUGAAGGCAAUAUACUUUUAAUCAAAAUAAGGUAUGUCUACUGACAACUUUUUCGGUGAAACGUUACGUCUAGCAUCUUUAUCAUUUUGAACCNNNNNNNNNNNNNNNNNNNNNNNNNNNNNNNNNNNNNNNNNNNNNNNNNNNNNNNNNNNNNNNNNNNNNNNNNNNNNNNNNNNNNNNNNNNNNNNNNNNNNNNNNNNNNNNNNNNNNNNNNNNNNNNNNNNNNNNNNNNNNNNNNNNNNNNNNNNNNNNNNNNNNNNNNNNNNNNNNNNNNNNNNNNNNNNNNNNNNNNNNNNNNNNNNNNNNNNNNNNNNNNNNNNNNNNNNNNNNNNNNNNNNNNNNNNNNNNNNNNNNNNNNNNNNNNNNNNNNNNNNNNNNNNNNNNNNNNNNNNNNNNNNNNNNNNNNNNNNNNNNNNNNNNNNNNNNNNNNNNNNNNNNNNNNNNNNNNNNNNNAUACGGGUUUGGGUAAUCCAACAGUGUCGUUCGCACGACCCCUUGGGAACAGGCGAGUUUUAAGGCUUGUGGGGGGGGGGGCUUGAUAUUCGCUGCCUAUAUAAGCGGAUAAAGAUCCAUCUUUUUACCCCACGCCUUCUUCCUUCCUCUGCUUCCCCAUCCUCAAGCUCCAGCGCCCAGGCUUCAAUCUUUCCCACCGCCAUUAACCUCUCCGGCCAUGUCCGGAUCCGGCUCUCAGGGCAAGGCGGUGGCCUCCUCCGUUACGGAGAAGGACAUCAAGGAACUCCGAGAAGCGGGGUACCUGGCUGCGGACGUCGCGCACAGGCUUCCUGCCAAAAAGCAGACCAUCCCCACUUCGGAGCCCGGCGAGAGAGUGGUGUUUAUCCCCCACUUCCUCCGCGGACUAGGGUUUCCACUUCACCCUUUUGUCCGUGGCCUCAUGUUCUAUUACGGGCUAGAUUUCCACGAUCUAGCCCCAAACUCCUUCCUCCACAUCUCGGCGUUCAUCGUCGUGUGUGAGGCGCUCCUCCGCAUCCCCUCCCCCCACUUUGGCCUAUGGCUCAAGGUCUUCAACGUAAAGCCGAAGGUGGUUGACGGGCAGCACGCAGACUGCGGAGGUGCCAUGGUGAGCAAGCUCCCCAACGUUACCUGGCCCAAAGGGGCCUUCGUGGAAACUGUCAAGAUAUGGCAGCAGGAGUGGUUCUACAUCACCGAACCUCGCGGCGCCAACUGGGCGGCCACUCCUGAGUUUAGAUUCAGACCCCCAAUGCGGCUCGCGUCGUGGACAACAAGGGUCUGGACUGGGAGUCAACCGAUGAAGUGACUAUGCUGCAAAAGCGCAUCAAAAAUAUUAUAGAGAAGGGCACCAGUCUCACUGAUGUGAUUUAGGUGAUGCUUUUCUGCCGGAUCCUCCCCUGUCAGUGUCGGCUUCUCUAUAUGUGGGAGUUCAAUCCGGAAGGGCCGAGGACCCUGCGGCGAUUCUUUGGCACAACGCACGAAGAGAUCUGGAAGCUGCUCUUCAAGGCCCAGAAGACGUGGCCGGAGACGACCGACGACAUCGGCCUUGACAACGCGCAUCCGGCCACCCCGGUAAGUAUUUAGUUUCCGAACAUAACUUCAGUUCACAAAUCAAAGGGUAUGCUGAACCUUCCACCCUUCAAUCAGGGCCGGACAAAGAAGGCGGAGCGGAUCAAGUGUCCGGCUCCGCUACCCGAAGACCCAGCCAUUCCUCUGCUAACGAGGAUGCUGGUCCCGGCGCCAUAUCAGGCACCGGAGAAGAAGACCAAGAAGAAGGGCAAGGAGGCCAAAAGUGGCCUCCACCGUAAAGGUACUUCGAAUGCUGUGUUCGGAGAAACCAAAGCUCCUUCCUCCCACGAGGGAGACGAAGAUGAAGAGGAGGAGGAGGCAGAAAGCAAUUCCCCCCUUAAGGGGAUGAAGAAGAAAAGGGCGGCCUCCGUAGACCCGGAGGCGGAGAGAGGGAAGAUAUCCCUCUCGGACGGCUCGGAUUCGGAUGCCGAAGCCAUCCCCGAGUGGCGCCCCAGGGUGAAGCCCCCGACCGCAUCGUAAGUAUCCAAGGAUUGUUUUACAUAUAUCCGGUCUUUUAUGAUUGUAGGAUAACAUAUUAUAUUAUGUGUUUCAGUCCGGCCCGCGUUCUCCCCCAACAAUCAUCAUCGGAGGGGAACUCUCUGGAGCCGGGGAUGGUGGAGAGCGAGACGCCUCCGCGAGCCUCUCCGCCAACCGCCACAGACGACACCGAAGUGUUGUCCCAAAGGGCCUCUCCGGGCCCCGGAGAGGCGCGAGAGGCCGCCAAGACGGCGCCAGAGGGUAAUGCCUCAGCUGCCGAGAACAUGGGGGAACCAACCCCCAUGGAGACUGACGACGGGGGCCAUGACCAAUCCGGCCCCCAGCCGAACACCAUUCCGGAGACACACACGGCUCCUGAAUCGAGCGAGCAACCCCCUUUGAAGGAGGGGGGAGCGUCGACUCCACCGGCGACCUCCAUCAAUCCGGAGGCGCCGGACACUUUGGUGGAAGCACUUCGACGUGCUUCCGUCAUGGAGGAGCACCGUACCCUGAUGGGUAUGGUGGUCGAGAGGGUCUAGUCCACCAAAAGCGGGCUGAACGAAGCCUUCACCAGCCUAUUAACAGGCUUUGAGGUAUGCGAUGUAAUAUUCUUAGUCGCUUUGCAUAUGCAAAAAAUAUGCCUGUGUAUAGAUAGUAGCCCCUGACACUUUGUUCGGCUUUUGGAAAAAAAGGCCGAACAGAGGAUCAAGUAAUAUUCGCAGGAGAUAACGUACUUGUCUAUUUUGAUAAACAGGCUUCACUGUUAGCGGCGACCGCCCAGGCCAUCGAAGUAUCCGAACUCAAGCGGAAGCUGGAGCUGGCCGAUGAGGAUCUCGUCCGCAUCAACAAGAGGUUUGAUGGGGCACAAGGUAUGUGUUGAAAAAUUGUUUACACACCUGAAGUAAUAUGUCAAUGUGGAGUUUUAAUCUCCUGUGUUGCCCUGAUCAUUAUUGCAGGUAGUACGGCCAAGGUCGAGACCCUGAAGAGCGCCCUUGCCCAAGCCAAAGAACAGGCACGAGUGAGCCAAGCGGCUGCUGACAAAGUGGCUGCGGAUUUAAAGGCCGAGCAGGUCACCCGCCGCAAGUAUGAGGAGCGGGUGACCGAAGUGGAGCAGGAGCUCAAGGAUGCCGCCAGCAAGUGUGAAAGGGCAUGUAGCCCCUAAGUGUGGUUUUGGUAAUUGAAUGACAAUCUCUAUGGACUAAUGUUUUCAGUGAGAUAUAUUUGAAGGUUUUGUCCAUAGAUGGUGCCUCAAGGAUAUUGGAUGGAAUCAAGGAUGAAGUCCAUAUAUAUGAAGAUAAUGCCUCAAGGAUAUUGGAUGGAAUCAAGGAUGAAGUCCAUAUAGAUGAAGUUAUAUUUGCUCUAAGCUUUGGUAUUAAAUGACAAUUCCUAUGGAGCAUCAAGUGCAUUGGAUCUUAUAUGAAGAUAUGUUCCAUAGUGAUGCUUGAAGUUCUUUGGGUUGUUAUGUGGAGAUUGCCAUCAAAGCAUCCGAAGAAGUCCUCAUGGUAUCCCUCUCUGGAUACCCCAUGCACACGGGCUUAUACCGUGCGCACGGGGUCGAGUGUCAACUCUCUGGAUACCCCAUGCUCAUGGGGCCUAGGUGUUGGCUCUUGAGAUCCCAUAUCCAGUGAGGUUUCAAGUUGGUCUUCGGGUACUUCUAUUAAAGCCAUCAAGAUUGGUUUCAAUGCCUAAUCUAAUUAUGUUCAUGAUGGAGUUCAUUGGAGGAUCUCAAAGAUUGAUAUAUUUGGGCUUCUGAGGAUCAAGGCUUGAGAGAGUAAUCAAAGAGAAGAAUUCAAGUUAUGGUUUCAAGACAAGAUCAUGGUGUGCUCGUGUGUUGGCUUUAGGUUGAUCAAGUCUUGAAGCAAACAACUAGAGUGACGGAUUCAUUAUGCCUCUCAAGAGAUUGUGAUGGAGUUUUUAGAAGGGCAAGUGGUGACCAAGAUGAUAUUCAUAGUGGAACUUGAUAUGGUCAUGGAAGAGUCUUUGGUGAUAUAGUCUUGAAGCAAUGAAGGGAAAUGAAGAGUUCAUUGUGGCUUUCAAGAAACCAAGAUGGAGCUUGGAGUAAAGAUGUUGGUUGACCAAGAUGAAGCUCGAAGAUUAUAUCUAAGUGGUCAACUCUCAAAGCACAAACAUUGUACCACGUGAGAUCAAGUGAUCUAGUGGUAUGGUAAGUAAUUGUGAAUUGUGCUUUGUUACCUAACCCAUGCUAUGUGUUUGGUAUGUCUAUGUGGGUUAGGUGUUUCUCAUGGGCUUGCAUCAAAAGGAAAGAUUUCAAGUAGCCUAUGUGAGGAUGACAUCAAGUGGUGAUGGUCAUCGGGUUCGAGGUGUCCAAGUGCAAGAUGAGAAGCCGGAGGUUAUAUUCUUUGAAGCUUGCGGUCCACAUCAUGAUAAUGCACAUGUGAAGAUGGGCUUAAGUUAAGGCUUCCCUCAUUGCAUCAUGAGGAAGCAAUUCGAGUAUCUUCACCAAGUGGUCGUGGACAAGAAAGGGAUUCCAACUUGAGGCAAGCAUUAAAGUCAUCAUCAAGCUCAAGUUGAAUGUGCAAGGCAAAGGUAUACCUUAGCUAGGUUUUCCUAGUUUUGCCGGUCUCAUAGUGCUUGGUGGGAGACCGGAUUAUAGGUUUGAUAGCCGUACUAUCAAGAGGGACUCUCGGGCAAGUAGCUUGAUCAUGUCGCAUGUAGAGAGCUCAAACCUUUGCAUUACUUGCAUCAUUCUUUCUUGUUGAUCUUGGGUGGUUCUCUAUGUGAGGACCUUGUGCUUUUCCAUAGCUUCAAAACAAGCCCAAGAUCAUCGAAUUCGGAGUCCGUAUGCCAAAGUUAUCAACGUUUUAGUGGGCUGCUGCUGGCUGUCCUGGGGACUCCGUGUGCACGGGGUUUUUGACCCCCGUGGGCACGGGGCCCCAUGUGCACGGGGCUUGUACCGUGCGCACGAGACCCCGUGGGCACGGAGUCUAAACCCCCGUGCACACGGGGUGCCCAGGAAAUGCCCGUUGGAGCCCCAACGGCUAGUUUUUGAGUUUGGCUAUUUAAGGGCCCUUUCCUCCCACCAGUUGGGGGUUGGUUCUUACACUUUCAAAACACCAUUUUGAGCCUCUCUACACCUCUCCAAAAGCCCUUUCUCCCCUCUAUGUGAAGGGGGAUUUGUGGAUGGAUUUGUGAGCCAUUUGUUGAUCAUAUCCAUUGCAUCCCCUCUCCUCAAUCUCCUACUUUCAAAAGUGCAUCUUGUGAGAUUGAGAGAGUGUGUUGAGCAUUUGUUGCUUGGCAUUGCAUUGCAUUUGUUGCAUUGGUUUGAGCUCCCCACAUCGAUUAGUUCGAGUGAGAGUCCGUGAGUUUAUUACUCUUGGAGGUUUCGGCCUCCUAGACGGUUUGGUGAUAUUCAUUGUGAAGAUUGUGAAGAGGCCUAUGUGGCCAAGGUUCCCCCGGGAGCUUCCUUUUGUGGUGUGCUCCAGGGAAGGGUGUGAAGUGGCCUAAGUGGUCAAGGUUCCUCCGGAAGCUUCCUUGUUUGUGGUGUGCUCCGGAGAAGUUUGUAAAGGUGUGGUGGUCGCCUUCAAGACCAACCCCGAGUGAAUCGAGGUUCAUCCGUUGGGGGUGACUCGAAAAGGAGAAUACGGUGAGUCACUUGGUGACGCCCCGGAGCUUUGGCUUCGGCACCGCUCUAACGGAGAUUAGCACUCUCACGAGUGUGAACUUCGGGAUAAAUCCGCGUCUCCGACUCACUUGUGGUUAUAUCUUACCCACACCCUUUACUUACCGCAAUUCAUACUUGCUCAUAUUGAUAUAUCUUGUGCUAGUUGAAUUGCUUAGUUGUUCCUACAUUUCCAUAUCUUGUGAUAUAGUUUGUGCUUGCUAGUUUCCUUAAGUGCCUAUCUUGUUUAGCAUAGGUUGUUGGUGCACUUAGUUGAGCCUAGCAUAUUUAGGAUUUGUGCUUGAAAGGUAUCCGUUUAGUUUAAUUCCGCAUUAGGAUAAAGCCAAAUCCGUAACAGUUUUAAAACGCCUAUUAACCCCCCCUCUAGUCGUCAUCUAGAUCCUUUCAAAGUGCGAGGCCUUGGAGGAGAAGAAUAAGGCCCAAGCGGUCAAUCUCACCAAGGCUCUUCAGGAGGCCAAGAAGGCGCGAACCGAGUCCCGGGCGGCUCGCGAGGAGAUCAAGCAGGCCAAACAGAUAGUGGCUGGUAAGCACUUUCUUUUCCAGAGUAUAUUUGGCGGUCGAAGAUAUGCCUUGCUUAAUCGACUAUGGAGUUCUCCAGACGCCUUUGCAGAUCUUCCGAGGAGUGCUGCCGACUGUCGGUGUCAAAACCGGCGGAUCUCAGGUAGGGGGUCCCGAACUGUGCGUCUAAGGUCGAUGGUAAUAGGAGGCGGGGGACACAAUGUUUACCCAGGUUCGGGCCCUCUCUAUGGAGGUAAUACCCUACUUCCUGCUUGAUUGAUCUUGAUGAAUAUGAGUAUUACAAGAGUUGAUCUACCACGAGAUUGUAAUGGCUAAACCCUAGAAGUCUAGCCUGUAUGACUAUGAUUAUGAGUCUCCCUAUCCGGACUAAGCCCUCUGGUUUAUAUAGACACCGGAGGGGACUAGGGUUGUACAAGGUCGGUUAUAGAGAAAGGAAUCUUCAUAUGCGGUCGCCAAGCUUGCCUUCCACGCCAAGGAGAGUCCCAUCCGGACACGGGUAGAGUCUUUGGUCUUCGUAUCUUCACAGCCCAUCAAUCCGGCCCAUGGCUAACAGGCCGGACGCCCGAGGACCCCUUAGUCCAGGACUCCCUCAGUAGCCCCUGAACCAGGCUUCAAUGACGAGGUGUCCGGCGCGCAGAUUGUCUUCGGCAUUGCAAGGCGGGUUCCUCCUUCCGAAUACUCCAAGAUAGUCUUCGGAUGCAACGAACGUGUCCGGAUCUGCAACAUAAGUACCACACACGCAGCCGUAGAGGGUAUAAUAUUUCACGAGUCCAAUCUGCCGACAACUUUUUGUAACGUGACAUCACACUAGCCCGGUCAUUAUUUCGAACCGUUUCCUGUCCUGCCGCUCCAUGUUUCGAGGCGCGGGUUUUAUUGGGACGUCUUGUCGAGGCAGAGAUCAUGUCCCCUUAUUGCGGGAUUCUCAUUAAUACGAGUGUGGGUAACCCAACCAUUCCAUUGGAAAGAUUCCUUAGGAGUAGGCAGGCUUUCAGGCUUAGGAGGAGGCGUUCG